rnacentral:rRNA from 1 species
UACGUAGGCAGCGAGCGUUGUUCGGAGUUACUGGGCGUAAAGGGUGUGUAGGCGGUUCUUUAAGUUUGGUGUGAAAUCUCCCGGCUCAACCGGGAGGGUGCGCCGAAUACUGAGGGACUCGAGUGCGGGAGAGGAGAGUGGAAUUCCUGGUGUAGCGGUGGAAUGCGCAGAUAUCAGGAAGAACACCCGUGGCGAAGGCGGCUCUCUGGAACGCAACUGACGCUGAGACGCGAAAGCGUGGGGAGCAAACAGG